ACAAAUUUGCUGAGAAGCUUUAGAUAUUUAUCGAGAAUGAACUCAGUGUGAUGCAAAUUUCUAAGGCUGAAUGAGAAAAAUAAGAAAAUACAGUAAUGAGGGCUUUGCACUUGUACCUUGCAUUUUAAAUAAGCUUAAAACCGUACUUUAAACUCAGAGCCCUAUAAAACACAGUUUCUGCAGCGUUCUGACCUGGACAGGUUGAGGAUAUUGGCAGCAUACUCAAGGGAAAGCAGAGAGCCAAAUCCUGCAACUCGCUGAGCACCUUCUCAUUGCCUUCAAAGAUGACUUCAUCUUACAGGAUCAGGCCCACAUAUUGCAAGCAGUAGAACAGAAACUCCCUCUGUCCUUCUUAUGGCAGUAUCCCUGGGGUGCAAUUCAGUCUGAGAGGAAAAGGAACAUGUACAGAGUAGCUAUGGGACAAUCUAAUCAGCAUGAUCAGAAGUGAUCAACGCACACCAGCUGUCUAAGGAACUGGGGAUCAGACCUAUAAGCCAAUGCAGUCACAGGGAGAAAGGAUGUUUUGUGAAAGGCGUUCCCGCCACAGCAGUGUGUUAGCCAGUUCUGUUCUCCUGGCCAGCAGACACAAAGAAACUGUCCCUGAGGCUGGGUCAUGGUUGACCAAAUAAGGUGCUGGGGACUGAAAAGUUUGUCAUGUAGGCUAAGAGCUUCAAUUGCAAGUAUUCUCUGCGGUCUUUCAGAAUAAAUGUUAUCAGUCACUUUUUGAAGGAACACUUCAGCUGUCUUAUCGCUGUGACUAAUAAUUGAGAAUUCAAACGGAAAGUUUUAAAAAUCAAAUUCACUUUCACUGUUCAUGCUGUUUAUGUAAUUUUUGUCCAGCUUGGACAUUGACUCUAAACUAGCUAGCUGUGUUUUUGCUGCGAGUCAUUUUCCUUUUCUGGUUCUCAU